rnacentral:tRNA from 1 species
UCCAAUGUGGUGUAGUGGCUAACAUUGCUGUCUUUCAU